UGGGAUUUAGUGUAUUUAGGGUAGCACGAAGAAUUUUGAAUUCUUAAGGUUAGGUUCAAAUCCUAUUAUUCCAG
rnacentral:tRNA from 2 species